rfam:Haloquadratum sp. J07HQX50 genomic scaffold scf7180000001541, whole genome shotgun sequence.
CUGAAGGCCGCGUUCGGGUCAAUUGUGAACUACAACACCCAAUCUCGCUCGUGCAACCGUCAACAAUGACGCUCACUGAGGGAGAACGCGUUGCCAUCAG